rnacentral:rRNA from 1 species
AUUGAACGCUGGCGGCAGGCCUAACACAUGCAAGUCGAACGAGUGGCGGACGGGUGAGUAAUAUCUCGGAAACUGCCUGAUGGAGGGGGAUAACUACUGGAAACGGUAGCUAAUACCGCAUACCAUCGGAUGUGCCCAUAUGGGAUUAGCUAGUUGGUGGGGUAAAGGCUCACCAAGGCGACGAUCCCUAGCUGGUCUGAGAGGAUGACCAGCCACACUGGAACUGAGACACGGCCCAGACUCCUACGGGAGGCAGCAGUGGGGAAUAUUGCACAAUGGGCGCAAGCCUGAUGCAGCCAUGCCGCGUGUAUGAAGAAGGCCUUAGGGUUGUAAAGUACUUUCAGCGGGGAGGCGUUACCCGCAGAAGAAGCACCGGCUAACUCCGUGCCAGCCGCCGCGGUAAUUC